rnacentral:rRNA from 1 species
AGAACGAACGCUGGCGGCAGGCUUAACACAUGCAAGUCGAACGCUCGUAGCAAUACGGGAGUGGCAGACGGGUGAGUAACGCGUGGGAACAUACCCUCCGGUUCGGAAUAGCUCAGGGAAACUUGGAUUAAUACCGGAUACGGCCGAGAGGCGAAAGAUUUAUCGCCGGAGGAUUGGCCCGCGUUCGAUUAGCUAGUUGGUGAGGUAACGGCUCACCAAGGCGAUGAUCGAUAGCUGGUCUGAGAGGAUGAUCAGCCACAUUGGGACUGAGACACGGCCCAAACUCCUACGGGAGGCAGCAGUGGGGAAUAUUGGACAAUGGGCGCAAGCCUGAUCCAGCCAUGCCGCGUGAGUGAUGACGGCCUUAGGUUGUAAAGCUCUUUCGCUCGGGACGAUAAUGACGGUACCGAGAUAAGAAGCCCGGCUAACUUCGUGCCAGCAGCCGC